rnacentral:misc_RNA from 1 species
GUUUUUUUUUUUUUUUUUGGUUUAAGCCCUUUUCUUUUUCCUUCUUUUGUUUUUGGUUGUAAUCCCCUAAGCAUUUGUCUCUCAAAUUAAGUGUAUAUGCAAUUUGUAUAAAUUGAGGAUAUCUAUGUGUCUUUGCGAAGGAUUUUUUUUUUUUUUCGGUUUAACCAUUUUUGUAAAAUAUGUUCAUUGCAAUAAUUGGUGUCUUCUCUUUUGUUGUGUGGAAUGCUGGUUGUAUCUUUAAAACCAACUUA